rnacentral:rRNA from 1 species
AUGUGGAACGAUGAGCUCAAAGUCACUGUUCAUGAUGCCACUUUCCACUAUAUAUUAGCUAAUGUUAUCCAUGUAGCCUCCGGGGUCAAUUUUUGUUUGAUCUGUAUAUAUUGUGACCCGUACCACAAGCAGACUUCGGUCAUCUGGGACCAAGUUGCUGCUUUUGUCUAUGAUAACCUAUGUAAACCCAUGGUUUGUAUGGGAGACUUGAACGACAUCUUGUAUGAUAUCGAUGGGUGUAAUGGCAAUAUUAACUACUAUCGUAUGCAUGCUUUC